AACACAGGAUCUAGCUGCUACUACCCUGAAGGACCAAAAGUCAUGGAAUAUGGUAUUCUGGAAAGCAAGGAAACUAGGUCUACAACCAAGAAUCAACUACCCAGCAAAAUUGACUAUAUUCUUAUAGGAAAAAGUAUGGUCAUUUAAUAAAAUAGAAGAUUUCCAACAUUCAUAAAGGAAAGACCAGACCUGACCAGAAAAUUUGAUGCCCAAUCAAGAGAAUCAUCACAAGGACAAAGACAUUAUAUUUCCAGUACCUAUCUACUACAGUGCCUUCCAGAGCCUCCAGCUCACCUGGUCUCCUGGGCAGACACCACCACCCCCCAUUCAAAUUGCACAGGUAAAAGGGUCCUGUCCUGUUACCUUAAAUUUCCCCUGGAUUCCUUGGUGCAGGUCUUCUACAAGAUUCUACUGGCUUAUGGCUUUGUACACAGAUAUGGAUUGGAUAAAAGAGUUUAAUAUAUGAUCCUCACCAGUUUUCUUUAUCAUUGAUCUUUCUCCAGUCCCUUUCAGAAAUUUUUAUAUUUUAUAUGGAAAACAUAUGCUGCCUUAUAUCACUAUAUUAACCAAUAUAUGACUCCUUGAACUUUAGUUAUUUGCCUAAAUAAAAAUAACUAGUAAUUGGUGAAAAAAGGGCUA
rnacentral:lncRNA from 1 species